UACAGAGGGUGCAAGCGUUAAUCGGAAUUACUGGGCGUAAAGCGUGCGUAGACGGUUAUUUAAGUCAGGUGUGAAAGCCCCGGGCUCAACCUGGGAAUUGCAUUUGAGACUGAAUAGCUAGGGUGCGGAAGAGGGAAGCGGAAUUUCCGGUGUAGCGGUGAAAUGCGUAGAUAUCGGAAGGAACACCAGUGGCGAAGGCGGGCUACUGGGCCGAUACUGACGCUGAGGCGCGAAAGCCAGGGGAGCGAACGGG
rnacentral:rRNA from 1 species